AACAUACCUCCCGCACAGCCCCCCUCCUCCCUCCUCAUCCAUCCAGCCACUGUAUACUUCCAUCCAGCAGAUGCGAAUCCCCCACUUCUCUCCGUGUGGUGAGAGUGAAAGUGAUUUUUGUGUUAUUUUCCUUUACAGGCCAUCCAUCAAUUUCAAUUCCUCUCCCCUCUUUCUCUUCUCCCUUCAGAGAAAGUGGCCCGAUCUGCCUGGACCUUCCCUUCCCUGCCCUGCCGACCUCCCCCUCCGAACUUCCGAGAACCCGAAUUCGGAGCUUGACGUCAGAGGAGCGGCUCCCCUGACGUCUUUUCCCAUCCGAACCUCGUCUCGUCUGGUCUGGUGCAGAGAGAGAAAGAGACGUCGAGCAGAUCUCUCUCCAACUUCUCCUCGACGGUACGAAACGCCUGCCUGCCUGCCAUUAUUUAAGAGUGGAGAAAGUACGAGGACGAGGAAUGACUCAUUCCUUGCUUGCUGGCCGAGCUGAGAUUGGAUUGUGGGGCUGGGAAGGGAAAUGUACGUGUUUCGCGUCCGAGAUGAGGAAACGGAUCGAUGCGUCGGGUGAAAGCGGGAGUGAAAGGAGGCAGCCGGCUCAUUUCAACGGGGAGAGGAGAGAGAGUGGUACGUACAUUACAACAUAGCAACACCUGCUCGUCUGGGAUAUGGACGUAUGGACGAAGGAUGGAUAAGGCGAUAAGGAAGCCGGGACCAGCUGGACGAAGAAGAGAAGAAAGGCGACGUCUUAUCUGCUUCGGUUUCCUUCACUUUACUCACCUCGAAUAAUCUUCUCUUUUUGGGAUGGAUGGAAGUUAGAAAAUUAGCAUGAUUCUCGGAUUUCUGCUCCCUCUCCAACUGGCCUGGCGUUUUGAUAGAGGAAGUCAUUAAGACUUGGCCAAUUUGUCUCCUUCGUUUUCAGCAGGUCUGCCAGCACCAAACCAUCAUCAUCACCAGGACGAGCAAGUAAGAAAUCUGUGUAGUUCUGGCCAGCUCUCUCGGAGAGAUAAAUAGGGGACAUUAAUCUUUGCGAGGAGAUGAGAUAUCUCCUUUCUGCCAAGUCUCAAAGUACUCAGGGGAAUGAAAAUCAUGCCAGUUUUGCUUCAGGAGAGGAGAAGAAGAGGAUAAGUCUCCGUGUCCAUGUAUUUAUUAGGGUUAAACGUAUUUAUGAACCGACUAGGUACAUAUGAGCAAAAUAUUUUGUAAAAAAUGUAUAACGAACCAAUUAACGUGGGAAUUAUUGGUAACUUGGUAAGAUCGGUAAAAAUUUUGGUAAAAAUUGGUAAAAAUUUUACAAAAUAAGGAGAUCUGAGCAAGUUUAAAAAAAUUGAGGGCUAAGUUU